rnacentral:tRNA from 1 species
AUCCCUGUGGUGUAUAACAACACAUUUCAUUUUCGUUGAAAAGAAGAAAUCCUUUUCCUGGGAUA